AGCCCUCCUUGGGCGUUUCCUCCCUAGACUUGGGCCGCCGGCUUGCCGGUGGCCCUUUUUUUUGCGCUG
rnacentral:sRNA from 1 species